AUUGAACGCUGGCGGCAGGCCUAACACAUGCAAGUCGAACGGUAACAGGAAGCAGCUUGCUGCUUYGCUGACGAGUGGCGGACGGGUGAGUAAUGUCUGGGAAACUGCCUGAUGGAGGGGGAUAACUACUGGAAACGGUGGCUAAUACCGCAUAACGUCGCAAGACCAAAGAGGGGGACCUUCGGGCCUCUUGCCAUCAGAUGUGCCCAGAUGGGAUUAGCUWGUUGGUGAGGUAACGGCUCACCAAGGCGACGAUCCCUAGCUGGUCUGAGAGGAUGACCAGCCACACUGGAACUGAGACACGGUCCAGACUCCUACGGGAGGCAGCAGUGGGGAAUAUUGCACAAUGGGCGCAAGCCUGAUGCAGCCAUGCCGCGUGUAUGAAGAAGGCCUUCGGGUUGUAAAGUACUUUCAGCGGGGAGGAAGGUGUUGUGGUUAAUAACCACAGCAAUUGACGUUACCCGCAGAAGAAGCACCGGCUAACUCC
rnacentral:rRNA from 1 species